GCAGAGAUGGGAUAAUUAGCUCCUCAGAAGGGGGACAGUGAGUAAGAAGGGAAUGAGCUGAAUGAAUGGAGCUUCAGCCAGGCAUUCACAGAGAGAAGGACAUCUCAGGAAAUGCAGAACCACAAUUGAGGUAGAAGAAGUAAAUAAAAGUGCUCUCUGACUUGAGUCAAAAAUAUUUGGCGUGUCAAUUUACAAGCAAGAGAAACUCUUUAUCACGAAAGCCACAAAGAAGAACUAACCUACCUUUGAAAGUAAACUGCUUGCAAGCUGGAUCACUUUAUCUACUAAGGAUGUUACAAUUAAAUGGCCGGUGUCCAGCUCACAGAUGACCACAGACAGCACAUCAGUAAACAAUGACCUGCAAGUAAGAACCUUUGAAACCU